rnacentral:rRNA from 1 species
UACGGGGGGGGCAAGCGUUGUUCGGAAUUACUGGGCGUAAAGGGCUCGUAGGCGGCCAACUAAGUCAGACGUGAAAUCCCUCGGCUUAACCGGGGAACUGCGUCUGAUACUGGAUGGCUUGAGUUCGGGAGAGGGAUGCGGAAUUCCAGGUGUAGCGGUGAAAUGCGUAGAUAUCUGGAGGAACACCGGUGGCGAAGGCGGCUUCCUGGACCGACACUGACGCUGAGGCGCGAAAGCUAGGGGAGCAAACGGG